UCCACACUGAUUGUAUUUCUCUGAGAGUAUUUGUGAGGGAGAGAGUAUGAGAGCUUUUGCUAGAGGCUUAGGGUUUGUUAGGGUGAGGAGACCCUUUUAUAAAAUAAGGGCUCAUCUUCUAAUUACAUAUUUGCCCCUUCCUUUAUUACAUAAUUACAUUUAAGUCCCUCGAGUAUUUAUACGAGGUCUAAAUACGAGGCCCUAAAUAUGGUAUAAACAAAUCCUAAUUUUUUUCUCUUUGCAAGACAAAAAACUACCAGGGAAGGAAGAGACUGUUAGGAAAGUAAAACCCAGACCGAAGAAGACAAGCAAUGGUGGAAGAACCAAGGCUCACUAACAAUAUCAUCGCUCUUUCCAUUCCUUUAUUUUUUGAUGAGGGAUUUGCAUAUUGCUAAAAGAGAGGAAGACAUUGGCUACUGUGCUGGAUAUGUAGAUGCUUGGCAGAGUCCUGACAUCAAUUUUUU
rnacentral:sRNA from 1 species